CCUGUUGUAUUUCAAUAAGCCUCCUGCAUCUUCCAUAAGGGCCUCAGCUUUGUAAAUUUCACAUGAGGUUCCAACAUGAGAAGAUUGUUGAGUUUCCCUUUUUGUUUGUUUGUUUAGUUCCUAAGUGUUGAAAAAGUAACGAGCAAUUAGAACAAUCUAUAUAAGUUAUUUGUAAUGACAAUCAAGAUGCAAUGACCAUGUAGCUGUUUUCUUCACAAAAUUUGUGCUAAACCCCUUUAAGUUUCUGUAAAUAUUGAGCCCCAUCCCUCAAAUAAUUUAUUUCAACCACUAUGAAAUUAUCCAGAGAUAGAUGGUUGGCUACUCACUAACAUGAGUGAACAAUUUGAAUUUGAAGCUUACAAAGGAGGAUGCACAGAAAGCUGAACAGGUCAUCUCAUCUAUGUCACCAGAUGAGUUGGAAAGAAUGGUGAGAUGGGCAGCAAGGAUUCAAACAGGAAUACAAGUCCUCAAGAUUACCAAAGAUUUUGUCAUGGCAAAUCCUGGCAUGAGCUUGGCACUUUUUGUGCCCAUUUUAGCUGUCUUCCUUCACCUGUUUGGCUACAUCUGAGCUUUUUCUGUUCUUUUAUAUUUUCUUGGCAUGUUAGGAAAAUUCAUUCAUUUUUUCUUAUCAGUUAAUAAAACUCUAUACAAAACAGCACUAAAUAGUGCUGGAUAUAUACAAUAUAGCAUUACAAGAAACUCAUACUCCUUAACUAUUCUUGCUAGGACUUAAAGAGAUCUAUUUCAGCAUCAUAAACGAUAUGCCUUCUACACCAAAAAGUUAAGAUGUGAUCAUGUCUAGAUCUCUUUUGAUUUGUUACCUUUUGAUAGAAAUCGGUAUCCGAAACCUGCUAGCCUGACUUAUCUGGAUUAGUGCUGGUAGGCCUACUAAGAGAGUGAAGUGCUCCCUCUUAGAAAUUCUCCAUUCCUAGUACUGAACUGUUACCAAGUCCUCUCAUUCCUAGACACAAUGAUAGCUACUUGGUAGUCUUUGGGAAGACCCAGUUCAAGAUAAAAAUGCAAAGAAACCUUUCAUAUAUGUAUUUG
rnacentral:lncRNA from 1 species